rnacentral:lncRNA from 1 species
ACAUACCUGACAGCCUUGACCUGGGCUCAGCAAUUCAACUCCUCUUGAAUUCAACCCUUUCGGCUUAGCAGCCUCCACUCAAGUAAAGCUGGAUCCUUGACUGUACCACAGAAAAGAAUUUUAAAGCAAGCCAGAGUGAAGCAGGGUUCAUGAGUUUAUGCCGAGUCAACAAAGCGCCAAAGGAAAGCACCAAAGGAAAACCACACCUCAAGCUCCUCUUUCCGCUUCCAUAUGCCUGAA